rnacentral:rRNA from 1 species
UACGGAGGAUGCAAGCGUUAUCCGGAGUGAUUGGGCGUAAAGCGUCCGCAGGUGGCAGUGUAAGUCUGCUGUUAAAGAGUCUAGCUCAACUAGAUACAAGCAGUGGAAACUACAUAGCUAGAGUACGUUCGGGGCAGAUGGAAUUCCUGGUGUAGCGGUGAAAUGCGUAGAGAUCAGGAAGAACACCGGUGGCGAAGGCGCUCUGCUAGGCCGUAACUGACACUGAGGGACGAAAGCUAGGGGAGCGAAUGGG